CAAAAAUGAAGGAAUCACACAGGACAGACUCAUCUGUGAGAAAUUUUUCUUCCAUUUCCCUGGCCACAGCACUGCUGACUCUCCUGAGGUUUCUCCAAAUUGCAACAGGACACCAUGUCAGAUGAGCUCUGGAUCCAAGAAGGUAUUUUACGAUCCAACAAGAUAUCAUUUCAAGAUGAAUGUCCUUUUCCAAUAUGAUGUACACUGUAAGGUCCAUCCCUGCAGAAGAAGGAUGGUGGUGUGGAUUGCCUGUCAGUGUUUGGCCCAUUGGGAGAGCUGAUGAUGCAGUCAGCAGGUUCUCCCUGCAAAUAGGGAAA